rnacentral:misc_RNA from 1 species
CCACGUGAACUUUAAAUCUAAAAGUUUUUCAGAUCGAAGAGAAACACUCGACAAAUUAAGCAUUUUUCAAGACGAUAUAGCCUAACAUUGUCGACUUAUCCAGAUUCUGAAAGGUAGCAUGCCUGCAGUUGUGUCAGACUUAGAUACAGUUCCAACCAAGGUUGAGAGUGAAAAGCCACAAGACAAACCUGUUGCAAAAUGCCCUUUUGACCACAGCAAGCCUGCAGAAGAUGUCACCAAAGAGAUUGGGGUAGAGGCCAAUGGAAAUGAAAAAAAUGGUGAGGAUGUGAAAGCAGAAAAGAAGGAAGAUGGGAAGUCUUCGGAGCAAGAAAUCCCUCCUCUGUAUUUCAUGAAUCUAAAACUCACCGUUCCUGGUUGUAAUGAAACAAUAACCAUUCAGAUAUCUUCGCACGAGACCGUUCAAGAUAUACGACAGGUCGUGUUGGAUCGUCAAGAAAGUUGCUUCAGAACGUGUGUUUCGCUUUAUUUCGACGGCAAACGACUUGAUGACUUCGCCGAGCUCCACACGAUAGAAGGGCUGAAGGAUGAAUCCGUCAUCAAAGUUGUUGAAGAGCAAUAUUCGGUUCGAGAAGCCCGUAUUCACGUGCGAAGAUUGCGAGAUUUGCUGAGCACGUCUUUUGAGAGUAACGCUCUCAGCGCCGCCGAUAAUCUCUCACUUUCGUUUUCUGUGGCGGUCUCUGGAGUCGAGGUUGAGGAGGAAUUGGUAAAGGUGAAAAGAGAUACCACUAACACCGUACCAACAGAAGAAUGUACUCCCCCAGAUUAUGUCUUCCCAUCAGAAGAACAACCUCUCACCUUGGAAGCUUUGUUUCCUAAAUCUGUCGCCCCCAAGGUUCCUGCGUGUGUGAAAGAGUUAUCAUUGAGCAGCUGGAAUCCCACGCCUGGCUACCGAAGAUUAGCUGGUGAUUUGCUAUAUAUUGAUGUGAUAACUCUCGAAGAUGAUCACGUGAACGUGACGUCGUGUCCAGCAGGCUUCUACAUAAACAGAAGUCAAAAUGGUGUGUUUAACCCUCAACCACGAGCGGAGAGUUGUCGGUCGCAUACCUUGGUCGGACUCCUCUCCCAGCUAAGUCCACUUUUCAAGAAGAACUUUGCAUUGUUGCAAAAAACUAGUAUGAGACGACAUCCUCUCGAAGUAAUUCCAACGCCAUAUCAAGUGUUUUCUUGGGCUAUUCCAAAACUUGACCACACACAAGACAGAAUGAGAGCCGAAGAUUCAUCAUACGUGAGAAUUGGCCACGAAGAACAUAUGCCAGGACAGUUGAGGGAUUGGAACGAAGAGCUGCAAUCCGCGCGAGAAUUACCACGAGAGACGUUGCAGCAACGGCUUCUUAGAGACAGAGCAAUAUUCAAGAUCACAAGCGAUUUUGUAAUGGCCGCCACACGGGGUGCAAUGUCCGUUGUUGACGGGAACGUUCUUUCAAUAAAUCCGGGCGAUGAUGAAAAAUCUCGGAUGUAUAUUUGGAACAACAUUUUCUUCAGUCUGGCAUUUGAUAGCAGAGACCAUUUUAAGAAUGUUGGUGGUGACGAGGCUGCCUAUGCCGCCGCCGGUGCCGAUUUAAAAGGUGUUUCGUCGUAUAACAGAGUUGAUAUCGAGGGUCUUUAUACGUUAGGAACGGUUGUGAUAGACUAUCGUGGUUAUCGUGUGAUUGCUCAAUCCAUAAUCCCAGGUAUUUUACAACGGGAUCAGGAGAACUCCGUGAUCUACGGUUCCAUAGACGCCGGGAAGACUGUCACCUCGAAUCCAGAAUUUCUAAAAUUGCUUGGAAAGGCAGCUAGAGUCCUAAGACUGCGAUCACAGCAGGUUCUAAACGAAAAUGACGAAGAAACGGAAUUACUUUCUUCCGUCGAAUGCAAGGGUAUACUUGGUGCAGAUGGUCGCCAUUAUAUCCUGGAUCUUUUCCGAACUUUCCCAACAGAUGUCAAUUUCCUUGAAGGAGUUGGAUCCUCAUUGACAACUAACGCGGAAGAAAUAUUCUCAUUUCCUUCAACGUAUAAGACAAAAUUGGUGUCCUUGAGACCAGAAUUAAUCGAGUCCUUUAUCGCGUCGCGUUACGUGAAUUUCCUCAGACUCGUGGCUAAGAAUGUGUCAAUAAAGUCCAAAGUCGAGGAAAACAAAAAUGUAAUUAAGAAAGAAGAGACAACUGAAAAUGGUGAUGCAAAUAUUGCGACUUCAUCUGAAGAAGAAUCGAUGGCUGUUGAACAGAAUGAUAAAGAGGAAGAUAUGAAGGGACAGCAGAACGGUGAAGAGAGAGUUUCGAGUGAUGUCGUAAAAGACGCAGCAAUGGCGGUGGGAUCUCUUAGCGAGACAGAAUUUGAUGUCAGAUUUAAUCCUGAUGCGUAUAACGAAGAAGUUAGACAUGCAGAAUGUGAGGGUACUCGUCUGCCAAAAGAUAAACAGUUAAUUCAGGAUACUGCAGCGUUCCUGUCUCACCCCGUCAUAGCCACAUUGAUUAAGGAUUUUUUCAGUCUGGCUCAAUCUCCUAUGGACGGGGAAACGUUUACAGAAAUCUUGCAUACGAGAGGCAUCAAUAUUCGAUACCUUGGUAAAAUCGCCACUUGUCUCGCAGGGAGAAACGACUUGGAACAUGUAUAUAAAAUAUGUAUUUCUGAAAUGAUCUUGAGAGCCGCGAAGAAGCUAUUUAAAGAUCACAUGCGGCAAGCAUUACAACAGAAUCUUGCUACGGCUGUCAGUCAUUUUCUGAACUGUCUAUUGAGCUCGUAUCCUAAUCCAGUUCCAACAAUACCGAAUGACGAGACGAACCAUAAAAAGAAAAAGAAUAAGAAAAACAGAAAUAAACAAAACUCCAAUAACGAAGUUAUUUGGGCCAAACUAACUCCAAGUCUUCUGUGGUCCUGGAUUGUCACCGACAUACAAAAACAUUUCGGGUUUGAGCUUAAAGAAGGAAGUAUAGACGAAGUCAUAAGCACCUAUGGAUUACAACCUCUUUCAAUGCUUCGGUCGUUUUGUUUAAAAACAGGUGUCCAAGUAUUGCUUUCCGCUUACGAUUUCGUUUCGAAGAGAAAUCCCACGUUCAGCGAAGAACACGUUAUGAAUAUCUUCCCCAUCGUAAAACAUACAAAUCCUAAGGCGGUGGACGCGGCUGCAUUAUUUGAGGCGGCUCAGAAUAAACUCCAGUCAGGUUUUCUCAGCGAGUCUCACGGCAUCAUGGUGGAGGCUUUGAAUCUCUAUCAUCAAGUGUACGGACCGCUGCACGGGGAUAUCGCGGUCUGUUACAGACAAAUAGCUCGACUCUAUUAUAUGGCCGAUGACGCGAUUCAGGCUGUCCUACAUCAACGGAAAGCCGUGGUUGUCUGUGAAAGAAUUUAUGGCAUCGAUCAUCCUGAUACGAUAAUGGCUUACCUUCACUUGGCAUUGUACUCUCACAACGCUGGUCUCGUGUCUACGGCUUUGAAACUUAUGUACAGAGCCCGAUAUCUCGCACUGGUCGUCUUUGGCGAGGGACAUCCAGACAUGGCAACAUUUGAUAGCAAUAUUGGUUUGGUUCUUCAAGGACAACGAGAAUUCGACCUUUCAAUAAAAUUCCUGGAAAAUGCCGCACUGAUUCAGCAAAAAUAUCAUGGCCCAGAAAGUAUUCACACGGCUAUGAGUUUCCAUCUCCUAGCAAGAGCUAAAGCCUCGGCAGGCGACUAUCGUUCCGCAUUGCAAAGCGAGAAAUCCGCCUUUAAUGUCUAUCAGAAGAAGUUUGGAAAUUUGGAUAUUCGAUGUCAAGAAAGUUCUGAAUUCUUGAAGCAACUUACAAAACAAGCCGUUCAGAUGCAGAGAAAGAUAAAUGAAUUAUCAGGUAUUGGUGGACGAGGAACAACGGCUGCAGAGGUAACAGUGCCGCAAGGUGAUAGAGAAGAGAUAUCUCGGUUGAUGGGAUUUAUUUCAGGUCUUCAAGACUCACCUUCAAGAAUAAAGGAGCAAGAUGAACAGCAAACCUAAUCCCUACGUUUCCCCCUUACCACCCUAUCUACCCUGCUUUCACCUUCUUGCCCUGUCCAAUAAGUUUGGCAUUCCUUCGGCAACAGCGUAAAACCGCUUUGCUUUUUUGUAUUUGAGCCAAGGCAUGAAUAACCAUCUCACGUUCGCAUCUUUUGCUCUCGGCUGAACUUUUAUACAAACAACUAUAGCUUGUACUAUUCGACAAAUUUACCGCGUAAAACACUUCAAGAUUCAUUCAUUGAGAACUUGUGUGUUGCGACAAUACAUUAUCUCUUGUUAUUGGGAGAAAGACGACUGCAAAUUGUGUGAACUUUGAUUUAAAUAAGCAUUCUGCAUGUAGAAUUGCAAAAAAAUAGCCGGUUUUCUACAAGGUGUAUACAAAAUUUGCUUGGUCAUUUUGUACAAGAAAUUUUUCGGCAAUUUGUCAACAUACAUGGAGUAUAUUAUUCAACGUACAUAAAGCGUUAUGUACUCUAUGGUGUAUCAUGAAAAACAAUCUGGAAUCGCUUCAUUAAUCUACCAUACUUUAUUUUUGAAACACAGAGGCGUUUGAAUAGAUUCGAAUUGUAUUAUAAGGAACCAAAUUACUACACAGCACAAAGCAGAAUUAAUGAAUUUAUGCGAUUACUCGACGUAAGUUAGGUUAACGACGUUUUCAAUUUGACCAGCAUCCUUGAACCUGUUUUCCCUUUUGUUCUCUCGCUUUUCUGGCAGCGCUAAUGACCGUAUUCAGUCGAUCUGUUUAACAUAACCGUCAAGCCUUGCGAUUUUUCUGCAGUCGCCUUUUGGCCAACGUGAACGCUUCGCAAAGAAUUACGAUUAAUACAAUCAAGUCAAAUUCCUAUUAGGUCUAAAUCAUUUCAAUAGACUAACAAGUCUUGCCUACAUUCCUUUAUUCGAAGAUGUUCAAUGUAUUUGAUGUCUUUGAGAUGCUGUAUUUCUUCAAUCUUAUCAACGAAGUGUGUUGUAUGUAGUCACGCUCGACACCAGCGCUUGUUGUUUAUAACCUUUGAUGUCUUUGGGGUGUUUUACGUAAAUCGACUCGCCUUUAAGGGAACUCCCAAGCAAAAGACAAGUUCCUUGUUCAUAAGGGGAUUUUGAUUCGAAAAGCCGAUUGAUAUGAAGACGCGAAUAAGUUAUGAACGUUUCAGUAAAUGCUCUCCAAUAAGCAGGUAAAUGUUUACAAUCAUUGACCGUGAAGAUGUAAAUUAAAGUAAUUCGGUUCAGUGCAGUCAAGAGUCACAAUGUUUCCGGGCAGGAUUACUGAGCAAAUAUCCGAGCGAAAUUGUUAUUUUUAUUCUUAAAAGAUU